rnacentral:rRNA from 1 species
AGUGAACGCUGGCGGCGUGCCUAAUACAUGCAAGUCGAACGGAGUGGCGCACGGGUGAGUAAUUUAUAGCUAAUCUGCGCCUUGCGGGAGGAAAACAGUUAGAAAUGACUGAUAAUACUCCAUAGCAAGGGAUGAGACUAUAUCGUAUUCGCUAGUCGGUGGGGUAACGGCCUACCGAGGCUAUGACGCGUAACUGGUCUGAGAGGAUGAUCAGUCACAUUGGAACUGAGACACGGUCCAAACUCCUACGUGAGGCAGCAGUAGGGAAUAUUGCGCAAUGGGGGAAGCCCUGACGCAGCAACGCCGCGUGGAGGAUGACACUUAUCGGAGCGUAAACUCCUUUUGUAGGGAAGCGGUACCUAACGAAUAAGCACCGGCUAACUCCGUGCCAGCAGCCGCGGUAAUUC